UCUGGUUGAUCCUGCCAGUAGUCAUAUGCUUGUCUCAAAGGCUAAGCCAUGCAUGUCUAAGUCCAAGCUGUGUCUUCGUGACACGGCGAGACCGCGGACGGCUCAUUAAAUCAGUCGUUGUCCAAAUGAGCUAGUUCCUCAGUACUUGGAUAACUGUGGUAAUUCCAGAGCUAAUACAUGCAACUUAUACUCUGAUGCUCUUGCUUGCAUGCGCUCUUCGGGGUGUGUGUGAGCGGCUGACGAGUGCUUUUAUUAGACCAAACUGCUGGGGCUUGAUAUCUACCUCUCGGGGUGUGUCUUGCCUGAUCGCUGUGUGGUGACUCUGGAUAACCUGUAAUGACAAGCGCACGUACCUUGUAUAUCAAGGACGGCGCUGCCACUUUCGAGUGACUGCCUUAUCAGCUGUCAACCGCUCGCUAUACGCGACCGAUGGCAUUGACGGGUAACGGGGAAUCAGGGUUCGAUUCCGGAGAGGCAGCCUGAGAGACGGCUACCACGUCCAAGGACGGCAGCAGGCACGCAAAUUACCCAAUCCCAGCACAUUCUGGGGGAGGUAGUGACGAGACAUAACGAAGCGUGCGCCCUUCACGGGCCUCGCUAUCGGAAUGAGCAUGCUCUAACAACUCUGUUGAGAACCUACUGAAGGGCAAGUCUGGUGCCAGCAGCCGCGGUAAUUCCAGCUUCAGUGGCGUAUAUUAAAGUUGCUGCGGUUAAAAGGCUCGUAGUUGAACUUACGUUCCGGGUAGGGGAAGGUGGACGCUGGCUGCUGUUGUGCCGUCAUCCUUCGAGGUGAUGGCCACACUCCCGUCCGUUUGAAUCCUCCUCUCCCGGGGACAAGCAAGCGUCUCUCACUCAGCCACCAAACACUCGGCUCUCUCUCUAGUGUCUCAGGUAGGCUCGUGGCGCUGUGAUGCCCUUCACGGGGCUCACACGUCGCUUGUCUUUCUCUGGUUCACUAAGGGGAGUUGGGUGGGCUGAUGCCUGCAGAGUCGCAACGGUCACCCUGAGUAAAUCAGAGUGCUCAAGGCAGUCGUAAGGGCUUUGCCCCGUGACAGACGGUGUACAAGGCUGAGUUUAGCGCGUGCGAACGUUGCGGCUCAGUCCCUGUGCACAGAGGACUGACUUGGUUUCGCAUGGUAUGUCGGAACACGACGUUGGGCGCUGGUUACCGAUCGUAGCAGCGGUAUAAGCCAGCCCCGACGUAAUGAUUAAAAGGGCUUGUCGAGGGCAUUGGUAUUGCGGAGCGAGAGGUGAAAUUCUAUGACCUCCGCAAGACCUCCUGAAGCGAAAGCGUCUGCCAAGGAUGUUUUCAUUAAUCAUGAACCAAAGUUAGAGGAUCGAAGGCGAUCAGAUACCGCCCUAGUUCUAACCCUAAACGAUGCCAACCAUCAAUUCGUAGAGCACCCAAUCUUACGGGCUCUUCGAGCAGCUCCCCUUCACGGAAAACCAGAGUCUCUGGGUUCCGGGGGGAGUCUGGCUGCAAAGCUGAAACUUAAAGGAAUUGACGGAAAGGCACCACCAGGCGUGGAGCCUGCGGCUUAAUUUGACUCAACACGGGCAAUCUCACCAGGCCAGGACUCUUGCAUGAUUGACAGAUUGAGAGCUCUUUCUCGAUUAAGUGGAUGGUGGUGCAUGGCCGUUCUUAGUUGGUGGAGUGAUCUGUCUGGUUAAUUCCGAUAACGAACGAGACUCUCUCCUGCUAAGUAGUCGGUUGGAUCUUUUCAUGUGAGGUCGCAGUUUUGCCGCUCUCUGGAGGCUCGGGAGUGCCUCUGCCUGUGGUGAGUGUUCUCCUGCCUUCUCUGCCGGUGUGCGCGAAGGGGGCUCUGUGCGGAUCGUAGCUCUUAGCGGGGUUGCGUUUCGUGCGGGUCUCUGUGCAUCGUGCGGGUUGGUGGGAUCUCCUCCCUGGGAUAUGCCUCCUGUUGGUUCUCUGUGAGUGGCCUGCCCUCCAAGUCCGCCGGCCAGUAUAUUGGUCUGAAAGAAUUCUUCUUAGAGGAAUAAACGGCUCUGAAGCCGUCAGAGACUGAGAGCAAUAACAGGUCUGUGAUGCCCUUAGAUGUCCUGGGCCGCACGCGCGCUACAAUGCUGGACACAGCAGGUGUUCUUCCCUGCUCCGAAAGGAGCGGGUAACCCUCUGAAAGUCCUUCAUACUCUAGCACUCUUGUCCCUGGGAUGUGUCGCCUCCGUGUGGCGCUCCCGUUUCAGGGCGAGAGAAGCGUGCUUGGGCCUGGGGUUUGCAAUUGUCCCCCACAAACGAGGAAUGCCUAGUAGCGGUGGGUCACUGAGCCCGCCGUGACUGAGUCCCUGCCCUUUGUACACACCGCCCGUCGCUACUACCGAUUGGGUGUACCAGUGAGAGCCUUGGACUGGCAGAGCCGCGCCAAACUCGGGUAUUGAGGGUGUGCUUGCAUAUCCCUUGUGCUCGAGUGCGGUAUCAUGACUUGGAAGAGGUUCGAACUGGUGCACUUAGAGGAAGUAAAAGUCGUAACAAGGUUUCCGUAGGUGAACCUGCGGAAGGAUCAUUAA
rnacentral:rRNA from 1 species